rnacentral:rRNA from 1 species
AUGAAUUGGAUACUUCAAGAGAAGAGAAGAGAAUUGUCAGAUAAGGAGAGGCAUGGUGUUUACUUCGCCUUGCUGGUAAUCGAGCUCAGAGAUGGGUCUGUUCAACCAGACGACAAGCUGCUAGUCUCAAACCUGUUGGACAUAAGUGUACGAUCUGUUGAAAGAAUCUGGGAAGACGCCAAAAGGCAAAUUGCCGAUGGCAAAGAAGUAGAUGUCUCAAGCAAGAAGCCGGGAAGAUCUGGCCGAAAGAGAAAGGAGCUAAAUCUAGAGAGGACCUCAACAAUCCCACUGAAUAAAAGAAGAACAAUUCGAUCUCUGGCAUGGUAUCUAGGUGUGGCCCGAUCGACCCUACAUAAGAGGUUCCAGUUG